UCUCUUGAGCAGCCUAAAACCUCAAAACGCGAUCACUCGUUUGUGGUUUAGUAAGUGAAACCUGCAAAGCCCGGCUGGAAAAAUCUGUCGGGCUCGCUGCUCCUCAAAGCCCUUCUCGUGUAGACAAUAACGGGACUUGUGUGACAGAGUGGGGACAUCCCUUUGACAAGAAAGAAGGAUGUGAGCCUGGAAAGGAGCGGCCGUCUAGCAAAGGCAGGGCCUCUGUGGCUGUUCCUGCGGACGCCAUUGGGGUUCAGCUCUUGCGUGAAGACUCGAGUGGGUUGCGUUGUGAGGAGCUCGGGUCUCCGCCACACGCCCGCGGACAAGCUUUCUGUUUCCUGUGUACAAAUGAAAAUGUGAUGGGCCAGCAUCCUGUUCCUGUGGCCAUAAUGGGCCUACCUUCUGUAAUGGUCUUGGAGAAUCACUGGAAAUGUGCAAGGUGACAUGCGGGUGAAACGUGUAAUUUCGAAGAAUGAAACUGCACUGCAUCGCGUCUGUUCAAGUGGGAGCAAGCUGGAAGCUGCAAAGAGCUCAGCUGAGUCUGGGGGAGUCCUUGUCCACAUCUUCUCGUUCCUUCCAGCAGCGGUGUUAUACUAGCACUGCUGUCUCUGUCAUAGUCUUAAGGGAGCGAAGGCUCACUCACCUCUGUGCCACUAGUAUUAUGUAACAAACAAUUUUAAACUAGGUCUCUUAAUUUCAAAUCCAGUGGGAUUUAUGAGGAGGCAGAAAUAACUCGGACUUAAGAAUCAUAAUGAAUUUUAAUUCUGACUUUAUAAAGAAGAGGAAGCUGUGUGGCUUCAAGAAACUCAUCAAGCUUGCCUGGGCCUCAAUCUUCUAUGAAAACAUGGUUAAAAAGAAAAAUACCCACCCCCUAACAGUGAAUACUACACAUAUGGACAGCAAAGCCCAGAACAUGAUCCCCAAGAUGUGCUCAGUAAAUGAAUUCCUUUCUUCCUAAAAGAAAUUGUGUUGUUAGGGCUGGUGGAAGAGCUCAGCCAUUAGAGCAUCUUUUGUUCUUCCGAAGACAUGGAUUCAAUUCUGGAUCCAGGCCUGUGGCUGUCAAGUAGGUCUAACUCCAUCUCUUCUGGCCUCCACAGGCACCACACUCUCAUACACAGACUCACAGCCUGUCAGCUACACAUACACAUAAAUAAAAAUAAAAUAAUAUCAUUUUUAAAA